rnacentral:misc_RNA from 1 species
AGUUAAACAGUACGUGAAAUUGUUGAAAGGGAAACGAUUGAAGUCAGUCGUGCUGGCGCGAAAUCAACCCUCUCGUUGAGAGGUCACAUGGCGUGGCGAGCCUCAAAACCGUCACGAAGCGUGAACUCUUGGCGAAAAGGAGCACUUUCGUGUCCGCUGGUUAACAUCAAUUUCGAACGUCAUAAAAAGGCUGGAGGGAUGUGGCUCCUUCGGGAGUGUUAUAACCUUUAGCGGAAUGUGGUGGUCGGGAUUGAGGAUUGCAACGAAUACCUUUAGGGCUGUUCCACCUGGCCUCUCUUUGGUAUCCUGGUGACGACAGCUUGCUGACGUUGUUAGGACUCGCCUUUGAACAGGCUAGAGUGUGAGCAAAUUCGUUAAGGAUGUUAACGUAAUGGCUUUAAA